rnacentral:rRNA from 1 species
UCAUUUAGAGGAAGUAAAAGUCGUAACAAGGUUUCCGUAGGUGAACCUGCGGAAGGAUCAUUACCGAAUUGUCAACAUGAAGUUGUUGCUGGCCCUCAAAUGGGGGUAUGUGCACGCUCUGUUUACACAUCCACUCACACCUGUGCACCCUCUGUAGUUCUAUGGUCUGGGGGCUCUGUCCUCCUGCUGUGGUUCUGCGUAUUUAUACAUACACACUGUAAUAAAGUCUCAUGGAAUGUAAUGCCGCGUUUAACGCAAUGUAAUACAACUUUCAGCAACGGAUCUCUUGGCUCUCGCAUCGAUGAAAGAACGCAGCGAAAUGCGAUAAGUAAAUGUGAAAUUGCAGAAAUUCAGUGAAUUCAUGAAUUCUUUGAACGCCCUUUGGCUAUUCCGAAGGGCAUGCCUGUUUGAGUAUCAUGAACACCUCAACUCUCAUGGCUUGCCAUGAUGAGCUUGGGACUUGGGGGUCUUGCUGGCCUGUGGUCAGCUCCUCUCAAAUGAAUCAGCUUGCCAGUGAUUGGUGGCACCACAGGUGUGAUAAACAUCUACGCUUGUGGUUCCCCACCAUGUAACCUUUAGCGAUAGAGGUUCGCUGGAGCUCACAAAUGUCUUUCCUCAGUGAAGACAGCUCUUUGAUUGUUUGAUCUCAAAUCAGGUAGGACUACCCGCUGAACUUAAGCAUAUCAAUA